ACUAUAUAAAUAUAGACCGCAAUUACAAUUAUCAGUUCCUAUCGGAUCAGAUUUUAAAUGUUAUAUGAAUAAUCACAUUGGAGAGUGUUGAACGAACUACUGCAGCCUGAGAAGAGAUUACAUAGAAUACAGAGGACCUUACAUUUUGGUGGUGCAGUUUGCUGCGGUUCUUCAUCUGAUUUGUGUUCUGGUUCCAUUUAAUUUGCGAAAAGUCUUUUAAGAUGAUUUUUGAUGUAAAGUUGAUCUUCAUAAUUACUGCCUAUGUUGUAUUUGACACAACCUAUGCCGGUGUCUGUCCAGUAAUACCGCCAUUUGUGGGUGACCUGUGUGGUGACAUGCCGAAUACUCAAAAAGACCAAAGCGUAUUUCUCAAAAAUAGCCGAUUUGACAGAGAUGCAAGGUGCCAAUGCGACGUUAAAAUGGCUUCUCCUGGCCCAACUCCAGAAACAUUACGAAUAAUUUUGUUAUCUUCACGUGUUGAUGGAUCAUAUUGCCCUGGCAUGAACAUGAGUGUCGAGAGCCGCGGAAGGGUACUGAUGGCAAUAGACUGCUCCCAAGCAGUGCAUUUCAUUCCUAUAUCCAAUCCACAGCAAGGAUUUGAAAUUAAAAGUCGCAACCUCCAACAACCAGGAGCUGUUAAGUCAUCAAUAUGUUUAUCCGUAAGUGCUCAUGUAGCAUUAACUGUUCGUUGUUCCAGAAUACCAAUAUUAGCAGCAAAAGCCAACGUACCUACAACAGACUUAUUAACGUCUUUGGCUCCAAGUGGUGUUAUGAAUUUGAACGGCGUGUCCACACCACCUCCAGCACCUACCAAUUACUUUGCAGCAGUCAAACAACAUAAUGCAACAGGCACCCAGUCCCAAAGUAUCCUUGCAGCCAGUCAAGGAGCUCCAGCUACUGUCCAGCCAGAUUUGGGAACAACGCCACCUUCCCAAUAGGUCUAACGGUCCUCGAGUUUUAUCAUGUAAAGACGGCAAGACGGGAUUCUACUACAGUAUUUUAAAAACAUUUGUUUUCAAUGUGUACAUAUAUAUCAUUAUAUAUUCAUACAUUAUAUCUAAUGACUUCGAUUUCACAAUAAUAUUAAUUUGCAUUCCCAGAACUUUUUAAAA